rnacentral:rRNA from 1 species
UACGAAGGGGGGCUAGCGUUGCUCGGAAUCACUGGGCGUAAAGCGCACGUAGGCGGAUCUUUAAGUCAGAGGUGAAAUCCCAAGGCUCAACCUUGGAACUGCCUUUGAUACUGGGGAUCUCGAGUCCGGAAGAGGUUGGUGGAACUGCGAGUGUAGAGGUGAAAUUCGUAGAUAUUCGCAAGAACACCAGUGGCGAAGGCGGCCAACUGGUCCGGUACUGACGCUGAGGUGCGAAAGCGUGGGGAGCAAACAGG